AGUGACAAGCGUCCCCCUCAGGGCCUCGUCACUUUUGGGUUUUGUCUCUAAAGAUCAAAAUUUUGAAUCAUCUACAAGAUUUCUGGAGGUGGGUUUGAAAUUUUUCUCGGGAAAAAAAGGAAGGGAGAAAUAGAAAGUGUGAACGUGAGAGAAUAGAAAGAAGGAGAAUUUUAGGUUUUUAGAAAGAUUUGUUUUGUUUUGUUUUGGGUUUGAGAGAAGAGAAGGGAGGAGAGGGGAGGAGGAGGAGGGUGGUGGUGAGGACUGAGGACAAGGCACGUGGAUGGUUUCAUGCAAGAUUGUGAUUCGGAGUCAAAAAAGUGUUGUGUGGGGGGUGGGGGGGUUUGUGUCAUUGUGUGUCAAGAACUUGGGGAGGAAGGUCUUGAUUCUCAGAUGGUGACAAGUUUGUGGGACUGAAAUACUUUUGGUUUAAGGUUUGGUCACAUUAUCUUUUAUAGACAAUUUUCUUUUUUGGGGAGGUGAUGUCAAUAUUGGAUUGAGACACUGUUCAUGAGGGCAAAUGUUCAUUAGGGUCUGAGCUUGUGUGUGUUUGGUGUGAUGAUGGUGUGAUUUUGGAUCAUAAUUCAUGAGCCACAAUAUCCAACUAUUUAUUGUGAUGAUUAUGAGUUCAUGAUGAAAGAUGCAAAGGGUUUUACAAAAGAAAAGAGAUUGAGAAUCGGUUUCAUAAGUGCUGAAACUUUACUCAUAGCACUAAAAUUAAGGGUAUACUCAAAAUUAUGAAAUUUUAUAAUGAUAUGUUUGUCGUGACAUCAAAAUAACGUGUACGUUAUAAAUUUUAUUUUGAGAUGAGUUUCUUUUUUAAUUUAGAUGGUGUUUUGAAAAUUGUAAUUUUUAAUUUGCUAUGUUAUUGUGUGUUGUGUUCGUCGAAACAUUAUCUAAUAAUAGACAAGCUACAAAAUGCAAUUCGUUUUGACUCAAUAAGCUCAUGUUCAUUAAAAGAACGAUCGAGUAGAGGUUGUAAACAACUCCUAUCUUUGUGAACAAACCGACUUGAAUAUGUUCAUAGUUGGCUCCUCAUCUAAAAGAUGGAUAUAAUAGUUCAUUUGAGGAUUGGGGUGGCAAGAAAAGAAACACUAUAUGGCAAAGACAGAGAGGAAGUGCACUAGAAAUAUCUCACACACACCUUCAUCACCAAGAAACAUCCUAGAGCCUAUUUGUCCAAGUAUAUCAUUUGGGGUCCAAUGCAACACUUGAUCUGAUUGGACAAGGAAAGAAGAUCAUUUGAAAUUUGAAUGCUCAACCCUUUUGUUAGCAAAGUCACAAUUAAUAAACAAACUCCAUUAGAAAAGGGUAAAGACAUAAACAAUACCCAGCAAAACUUUGUUGGGAGAUGAUGAAGCAGAAUCUUGUUUGUUUUGAGUAGUAUAUAACCAGAGAAUACAAAAUGCCCUGAGAAGCAACACUUCUUCGAGUGAGAAUGGGAGACAAAACUCUUCUACUUGAAGUUUUAUAAUUGAUAACCAAAUCAUAUAGUUAAUCCUUAGAUUAAACCAAAAACGUCAUCACGCGUUCUACUUCUUUAUUGAGAAACUUGGAAAGUUAGUUUUGAUAGACUGAAAGAUAAGAAAGGUAGUUAUGCUUGCACAACAAAAUUGACAUCCAACUCUCACUUUCUUAUGUUGUUUCUGUUAAGUUAGGCUAGAAUCUGAAGAGAAUCGCCCAGAAUCUGAGAAAAGAACAAAAGGCAGAAGAUAGCUAGAAUCACCCAGAAUCGUAAAGGUUGGUUAUAAAAUAAGAAUUCAAAGUAAAUACUAAACGCUGGACAUUAGGAGUCUUUGAACUUCAAUUAUAUUGUAUAUAGCUGCAUUAAUAUAUGACAUGCCUAUUAGUUACACCAUACCCAGUAAUGCCAACAGUGAUGGAAGCCCAUAUUAUGAGAAUAAAAGGCACAUACCACCAGUUAACUCUAAUCUUCGUUUUCUAUGAGAAGCAAGAGCUUUGAUAGUUCAUCAUCUGAUCAUCACCCUUGCGUAACCUGUACAGUAGUGUACGUCUUGCAUCCAAAAGCAGGAGCUCCUUGUAGCCUGGUAGAACUCUGUAGUUGAUCGAGUUUCGGGUUUUAUUUUGCAGGACAUGAAAAGCCUUCUUAGACCAAUGAAGGAUCUGAGCAAUGCAAGCUGGGAAGGAUGUGCAUCAUAUGCUAACUUAGGUUAUUACUUACCUUAUUCUUGUAUAUGCUACGUACUUCUAUUCUAAUUAGGUUUAUCACUUGGGAUCUUGACCGUUAGGUUUAUCACUAGGUUUCAUGCAAGAUUGUGACUUUGAGUCAAUUAGAGGUGUUGCGUACGUGGGGGAUUUGUGUUUGUGGGACUCAAAAUCUUUGAUCAAGGUUUAGUCACAUUAUCUCGAGGAUGCAUGGCAUAAUGGAAGCCCAUAUUUUUAGUUACACCAUACUCAGUAAUGCCAACAAAUUAAGAUGGGACUCAUGGGAGUCCAUAUAAUCAAAAUGAAGGGCAGCACUGCUUCUUCGUUUUGUAGUCGAGCAACUACCACCCACUUCUUCAGAUAAUACCACCAGAUAACCACUAUCUUGGCUCCGUCGCAUCGAAAAUUUCUAAUCCAAAAGCCCUAGUUUUGGAGACUUGAAGCGUGACUUUGCUGCCGGACACGAAGUUGAAAAGACCUAACUAAUGUUCUAGGGGAUACAUCCCUUGUUAAGGAUCUCUUCUUGCGAAUUCUCUACACCAAAUCUCUUAAACCGUGCCUAAAACCAAACAUGAAACAUGGCUUAAAUCACAGUCGCAUAUAAGAGGUAACUAAUUAUGCAAUGAUAACCUCACCAGAGGAACAUUUUCAGUGAAUAAUUUACAGAGAUUUUUAACAUGCAGAUCAAGAAAGGUUACGUAAUGUACGUUUAUAUACAGCACCAAUAUUGUAUAAACAGUGAAACACAAUUAGCCUAGUCAAACAAUCAAUAUCGAAUACUCCUCCAAUCCCUCAGGCGGAGAUUAAAUUAGCUACAAGCGGUUAUCUCCUUGGACGCCGGAGAAGCGGCCGCAGCGGACUCCUUCGGCGGGGAAUGUGGCAACCUCGCCGAGAAGUUCCUGAGAGGAAAGCCGCCGUCAUCCUCGUUAGGGUCCUCAUGAUCAAAGUUGAGGGCGUAACUCAGCUCGUCGUAUUUGAAGUCCCCGGAGUGCCUCCUCCCACUACUGUGGCGCCCCAUGCGGCCAAUGGCCUUGCGACACUUGUCCUUGAGCUCGGAGAACUCAUGGUGAUGGUGAGAGCGCGCCGAUUUCGGGGUGGAGAGGGAGGCGUCGGAGGGACGUAGGAGGCCUAAGUCAUCCCGGUUGUGGCCGCUGGCGCUGUAGCCAUGUGGGGUCGUGGGGGCGGUGAUGGAGCCGUGGCUGUGGUUGUGUUGGUGGUGGGAUUUAUUGUCUUUGAAGCAAGGGAGAAUACAAAGAGAAGAACGUAGCUUUUUCCUGAGGCCGCUAGGAGAAGUUGGGCCCGGCGUCACUAUCCGUAGGUCCAUUUUCCGGUCUCUAUUACCGGUGACGUUGGUGAUGGCACGGAUGCAACAGUACAAUGGUAUUUUCAAGUUGAGGGAUGGUGGCGGAUGUUGUUUUUGGUGGUGGAGUGGUGGUGGUCGUGGUUUUGAGGUGUAGUAAUUGGGAGGGUUUGGAGGAAAUGACGGGUGAAGAUUUUGUGAAGGCCCGGAUUCGUGGGGAUGCUCAGAGGUUAUCGCUCUUUCACCCAAAUUAAGCAAAAAUGUAAAUUUAAUAGUUUAUUAUGAAAAUUUAAAGUCAGAUAUGGGCAGGGCUGUAUGUUGCUUAUUAUACAAGUAACAAUUGGGCUUGUAGAUUUUUUUUCGAACAAGAAUUAGGCUUGUAGUUAAGCCCAAUUAGUUUUCACUAGGGUUUUUUUUACCUCAGUUGCUUGGAAAAUGCGCACACCUCUUAUAAAUACCUACAUCAGCCAAAGCCUUAGUUACACUGUAGAUAUUCACAGAGGCAAACUGCAAGGCAGUCGUUUUUAUCAGCCAGAUUAGGGUUCAUAUAUUUCUUUAUACAAAGAGAUGAAUGUUGAGAACAAGAGGGUUAACAAUAUGUAAAUCCCUCUCUCGCUCUCUACAGUCACUCUUUGUAUGAAGUGAUGCACUGAAUCCCUCUAUAAUCCCUUUGGGCACUUAGUUUUGCAACUGCUUGGAUCAGAUCUCACUCCAUUGUUGUAGUUACAUCGAUCAGCUGAGUUCAUGAUAGCCUUGUCGAUCUUGGUGGUUAAUUUUUUUUUUUUUUUUUUCAGUGAAUAUGAGGGUCCUUUGUAUGAGUUGUCUUGUAUAGAUCUUAUACAUGUCUAUGUCUUGUUUAAGUUCCGGCAAUCCGGUUAACGAUUUCCAGUCUCAUUUUGUUUCAUAUUAAUGUGUUAUUGAUUUCUUAAUCCUUGAACUUCUCUCAAUGCUUUUUCUGUAGAGCUACCACAUGCUAACUGAUUGCACUACAAAAGAAAUAGGAUAUUGCCAAUUGCGAUAUGUUUCAGAUGAUCUAACGUUGCAUUUGGUUUUUGGUUUCCUGAUGAUAUUUCAGUGCACUGAGGCCCAUUUGGUUGGCAGGAAACAAAAAAAAGAGAUAUGACUGGAAAUUGACUCUCUCAUAAAACUUGAAUUCAAUUACUUUGUCAAGGGUGGUAUAACUGGUAUUUCAAUUCCAUUCCCACUGUCAAAGCCACAAUUACAUAAAUUAUCCUCUCAUAAAUUUAAAUGUUGUACGUAUUUGGAAAUUAUAAAGGGGCAUUAUUGAAAAAUAUAACUUUGUAUUUCAUUAUAAUGACGUACCAAACAUUACAAUAGGAAUUAAUAUACUUGAUUCUAUCAUUUAAUUUCCAAUAUAACCCAAACACCUACAUGAAAAUACCAAAACAUAUUCCAUUCUAUAUCUGUUUGAAAAAGAAAAUAAACUCAUUUCCUAUUUUUACUUUCCUGCAUAAAUUCAUUUCCUAUUUUUACUUUCCUACGGGGCCUCGAAGCAUUUUCAAUCUCAAAGGAAAUGACGGAUGGUGGCGUGGUCGUGGUUUUAGAGGUGUAGUAAUUGGGAGGGUUUGGAGGAAAGGACGGGUGAAGAUUUUGUGAAGGCCCGGAUUCGUGGGGAUGCUCAGAGGUUGUCGCUCUUUCACCCAAAUUAAGCAAAAAUGUAAAUUUAAUAGUUUAUUAUGAAAAUUUCAAGUCAGAUAUGGGCAGGGCUGUAUGUUGCUUAUUCUACAAGUACCAAUUGGGCUCAUACUUUUUUUUUUGAACAAGAAUUGAGAUUGUAGUUAAGCCCAAUUAGUUUUGUGAUGACGUGUAUAGAAGGUAUGGAUCAGUAUCUUAUUGUUUUUGAUAGGAAAUGGAUGUGAGUAUCUUAUUGAUUAGUGUAACUGUGUAAGGUUGCCAAUUUGAUAAUGAAAUUAUGUGAUCCUGAGAAUCCUUCCUUAUUCUGCUAACAUGCUCCUACUUAAUUAGCAUCUCAAAUGAUAGUGAUCAUUGUCGGGACUACGGAUUCCUAAAUAUGUACUAAACAACUUUCACCUAAUGUCAAAAUUCGCUACCACAUAAGGAAAUAUAUAUACUAAUCUUAAAUGUGGUUUUGAUAUAAAACGUUAUACGAUAAACACGCGUUGUGUAAUAUAGUAUGGAGAGAUGAAGACUAGCUAACAAAUUAACUCAUCGUCUGAAAAUGUAUUAAUUAAGAUUUUCAUCUCUUUAUAUGGGUGAAAACUAAAAUUAACAUUUAUAUGAUUGAUACAAAGUUUAUUAUCUACCAACGGCUCCCAGUGAGAAAACACAUUUUUGAGGAUUCUAAAUGCAAAUAUCGCACUUUCACAUGCUUAGCUGCCAAAUACAAUAACAAUUUGAUGGUCUCGUAUUUAUAUAUUACCGUUUUAAUGAUAUAAAAUUGAAUACCAUUAAACGGUAAUGUUUAUUGGAUAAAAUAAAAUUCCAACCAAGAAAAGGAAAAAGAAUUAUGGAUUUACCAUAAUCUCUUCCAUCAUGAAAAUGUGAACUAUAUAUAAAACUAGCAGCUUUCCCACCAUAGAAACCAGAAUCAUGAGAAGCAAUGAAGCUGAAAACCAAGAAUUACCAGUCACACUGCAUUGUAGCACAACGGAAGGGCCUAAAUCAAUUUGGUAGGUCACGUGGCUCACUCUUGGCCUUGUGUACCCAAAUUAGUGCUUCUUUUCUGGUCAGAAUUACAACAAUUCUGAUUCUUUUAUCAGCUCAAUUGAAACUUCCUCACUCUUUCCAUUCCCUUUCCGACCUUGUUCCUCACCCACUUUUCACUUUUCUUCUCUCAGUUUCUCCCACCCAUAAUUGAGAACAGAGAGAGGAAGAGAUUGAUAGAGAGAGAGAGAGGGAGAGAGAUGAACAGAGGUUGAUGAAGAUCGACAUGAUUGAUUCAGAUAGCUAGGUUUUAGCUACCAUCAAUGGUAUGGCCCCUCUUUUGUCUCCCACCAAGCUUUCUGAAUCGUUCACAAUUGUCUUCUUCCUCUCUUAGAACAUCAUUUCAGGCAGCUAGCUUCUCAUAUCUGAAGAGGCUGGUUGUUUAUAAAUAGGAGAAAAACAUGUAUACAUAGCAUACUUCGAUUCUAACGCCGACAGCUUAUAUUUAAGUUGUUGCGGUUAAAAAGCUCGUAUAUACUCCCUGUAGUCAUAGUUACACCUUAGCUGCAAUGGCGGGGAUGCUUCCUGGUGUGGAAUGUGCUCGAAGGAGACGAGUCCAUCAGAGCAGUGAAUCACCAAAUCCGGCUAAUACAAAUGGCUGCACCAGACGCUCAUCUUUUUGCCUGUAUGCUAGCAACAAUGAAACUCACCAAACCUCAACGUUUUCUCUGGUAAUUAAUCAAUUUAACUACUGUGUCUAAUACUUGGUUUUUCCUCAUUUUUGGGUGAUUAUUUGAUUGUUACUUGUUUUUGAAUAUCAUAGCAAAGAAGCAAGCUGAAUCAGGCUUCAUACAUGGAUGAGAAGCUAGGAGUGGAAGCUAGAGUAGCCAAGGAGAGACUAGAUGAAAGAUUGAGAACGCAGAGAAAAACACAACCCAAUAGGUGAUUGAUUACUUACACCCAACUUUCAAAGCAUGUAAAUUAGUUAUCAAGCUUGGUUAGUUUUCUCAUACAAAUGAUGAAUUGGGUAUAGGCUAAAUAGCAAGGAAGGAUCAUUGAGAAGUAGUAGUGUGGAUGAUGGAAGAUGUACCAUGAUUCCUAGGGAGUUGCACAGAGAAGUGUAUGGAUCAAAGAAGACUACUACUAAGACUGGGUCAAGGAAGUUCAGCUGGGCCAAGUUGAGCUGGAAGUCAUCUGACCAAGAUGAGUGCGCUGUUUGCCUUGAGAGGUUCAUGCCAGGUGAGACCCUGGUGCAUCUGCCUUGUGCUCAUAGGUUCCAUUCUGGCUGCAUGGUCCCAUGGCUAGAGAAGAAUGCUCAUUGCCCUUGUUGCAGAAUGGGGGUAGCUUUAGUGUCCCAGUAAAUUGACUUCUCUUUAAUUUGUGUUGAUUUAUCUGUAAUGAGCUUGCAGUUGUAGGGUUGGUGUGGAUCAGGAUGUUCCUUUAUGGAUCAUUACCUUGUAGCUGUCAUAUGAUUUUGUUGAUGAAAGACUAGUGAGGAACUCUGUGUGUGAGUGAAAUUAUGUAUAUAAAUGGUCGGUAGUUUCAAGGUGCUUCAUAGUAGAGAUCAAAUGUCAUACAUAAACACAUUUUUGCAACAUCAUUCUUCACCAUGCAAAUCAAAUAUGGGGAACUGAAAAUUUGGGGAUCAAGAUUUCUUGAAAAGGUUCAAAUAUAAUUGAAGUACCAAAGCUUAAUCUAACUAAAAUGAGAGUAUAACAUCAUUUUGCAAUGUUGUUAGGUAUAAAUCAACAUAUCAGAAAAUACAUCAUUCAGUAAUUCCCAUUCCAUAACAGAAGGGACAUAUGUAGACCCUUCUUGUCUUACUUCCAUAAGACUUUAACCAUAAGAAUGAACAAAUAAUAGACAUGAUGAGUUUUGAAGGAAAUGCAAGUGAGUGAAUGAAUCUAAUUCCAUCGAGUGUCACAAUCUGUCAAUUCUUUUCCACCCACCUCCUGAAAUUGAAUUUAAGAUAAUGCACCUCGCAUGUGACUAGUGGCCCAAAGAUUUGAACAUAUGGGAAUGGGAUUGCCUUUCUGUCUUGGUCUCAAUUCCAUUUUAUCUUGCUUACUCAUUAAACCAUUCAUUUAGGUGAAUCAUCACUCUCAUAUUGUUGCUUGAUCAAAAGUUUGAAUCACUAAUUGAUAAAGAUUAUCUAUAGUUCAUCUUUUCCCUAUCAUAUCCUAAUUUGGUUAAAAGCUCGCACCUUUCUGUACUGUGAAGCUGGAGAGCACUAUUAUGUUGUUAUCAUAGGGCAAAUAUCUGCCUUGAUUGAUUUCAUUUGCUGGGUUGUGUUAGUAUAAUCAAGCUUUUAAGAUAUGUUCUGAUUACUUCUGUAUUUUUUUCUUUGUGAUUUGAGACUUAUCGAGUGAGUGAUCGAGUGAGUGAUAAACAAGAGUCUAAAACGUCUAAAAGUUUUCACAUGUAACAAAAGAUUGAGACGUAUUGCAUGAUUUUUUUAUUUUUUGGUACUGUUGGAUUUCAAAUCUGCUACAUGUACGUCCACUAAGUAGGCAAAAUCAUACAAUGCGUCUCAAACUUCUGUUUGCAAGAAAAAUGAUUACGAAAGGGUAUGAUAGUGAUAGUGAGCGAGAUUCAAAUUAGGGACAAGAAACACAAAAAUUUACCAAACCCUUUCGUAUUUACUGAUACCAUUAGGCAUUAGCUCAGGAAAACGUCUCUUUACUUUAAAUGGUGAAAAUGACAUUGCCAAUUCCCAAGCAACAAGCACCAAAACGACGACGUCUCCUCACUGCAUCUUUUCAUUAUUUUUGCCACCAAGUGGGUUUCAAAACACUCGCUUCUCUCAACGGCUAGUUCCUAGUGACCGUUUUCCUUCUCCCCAAAUUCAAAACUACCUCUCUCACUCACUAAGCUCACAAAAAACCAGAUUCACAGCUCUGGCAUCUUACACAAACCCUCGAUAUCUCUCUAACGCUUUUGCCAAUCCUUCGAAUCAUCAAGAUCCCAGAUCAGUUUCAAGAAUGGUGUACUCUUACGCACCCACCUACUACUCCUCUCUCCAUGAGUCUGUCACCUCUUUGUGCAAGACCAUCCUUCCCUUCAGCUUCAAGAAACGCCGCUUAACAUCAGCGGAACACAAGCUGUCGAAGCUUCAGUCGGAUAAUCUCAAGUGGCAGCAAGACUCUUUCCACCAGAUUCUCAACUUGAUGGGUCUUCACAAAGAAGGCAUUUUGGCUGAGACUGAGGUCUCAGCUUUUCGAUCCCAUUUGCUUGACACCCUCAUCGCUGCUCCGGCAGAGCAUGAGCAGCCGGUGAUCUUGCGAGAUAAGCUGCUUUUCUUGCAGGUAAACAAUCUAAGAUCUCUCUUUCUUUCUUUAUUCAUUGUUAAAAAUAUGCGACGGGGUAUUGUAAGUUUCAAAUUGUUCUUGUUCUUGCUGUCGCGAUCUAUUGAGAUUAACGGGGAUUAAUUAACCUUGUAGGAGCUGUUGUAUGCUAAAUGCAUAUCUGAAGAUGAGUACCAUUCUUCAAAAAGGCCAUUGCUGCAGAGAUUGGCAGUGCAAGGAGCUGAGAUUGAGGCCAGAGAUGUUAUUGUUUCUGGGGCACCAGUUAAAGAGGCGAAAGAGAAUGCAGAGGAGGAGUGGUCUGUCAUCGACUUAAAGGAUGACAAAAACUUGACAAACAAAGAGGGAUCGAAUUCGAAGAGCAAGAAAGGGAAGCAUGGCUCUGCAAUGAAGCAAAUCAAAGGAGCAGCUUCGGUUUUGGGGUUUGUCUCGCCUUACAAACAAGGGAAGAACAGAGAAGAGAGGAGCAUUUUCGAUUUGGCUAACAACUCUAAGCUUGAAACAAGCUCAAUUCUCAUGCAGGAGAGUUUGCCUCCUGUGAAAGAGAGUGGUAGCUCGGAUAGGACAAAGAGGAAACCGUUUAGGAAUUUGUUUCAGAAAGAAGGAAAUGGUGAUGAGAAUUGUGUCGAGAAAGAACAACAAACACCUUCGAAAUCGGCUAAGAAGAAAUGGGGGUUUGAUGGGUUGAAGAAGUGGAAGAGGAAUGAGUCAGAGGAUGAGACAACUCCUCUGCCUCUUAAUGAGAGAUCAGAUGAUGAAGUUCAUGUGAGGCUUGUGGCAAGCCCAAUGGGUGAAGGGCCAGACACUAAGCUUAUCAAGAGGAAGCUGCUCUCAGAUGGCUCUCCUUCUGAUUUCUUCAUUGAUAAGGUUUGACAUUGUUGAUUUGGUUUCUUAGAGUUGAUAUGAUAUUCGAGAAUUGAGCUGAAACUGAAUCUUGGUCACUUUCAUUAUGUGCAGGUUGUAGGGGACAAGAUAAAGAAGGAGCUGUCGAGAAUUCAGACCGAGCUUUGCACAGCAAAUCCAAAUCUUAAAUUUUCGUAAGCCUUUCUAUUCUACUUAUGGUGAUUUGUUGUAUAAGCAUUGGUGUUGAAAAACAAUCUUUCUUUUAUGAAUAUAUGAGUUUGAUUCAUGGAUUCAUGGACUUGAUCAGGAAUGACCAAAUUGAAGAAAUUUCGACUAAACUUCCAGUCGACAAGGCUGAGCUAAAGAAGUUCUUUCCCAAGUAAGAUCAAUUCCAAAACCAUUCACCUUUUGAGCCUAGAAUCAGCUAAAUUGUAUCACCCUUUUGAUCUCCUUUGUUUUGAUGCUUCAGGUCGUGGUGUGAUCGGUAUGGAGAUGUCGUUUUGGAUGUGGUGAAGAAAGAAUUUAAGGACCAUGUAGGGGAAAUGGAGAGCUUGAGGAAUGCAGCUAGAGAGAAACAUGGCAUGAACUCGGCUCGGUGGACAACAUUCCAAGAUGAUGAUGAAAAUUGUCACCCGAAUCUCUUUGCUAACCGAGAUCAUUCGUAUUAUGGUAGUGGCACUUCAAAGUUCCAUGAAACCAAUCCUUUCUGCGAUGAUCACAUUACUGCCAAUGGAAGCAAUGCCAGCAAGCUGAGAUCUAAACCAUCUUUUACGCAAGACCAGAACCAGAACCCCUUCUGGGUCCCUGGACAUGGCUAUUGAUAACACCCAGGCACUGCUAUAUUCUGGGUAAUGUUCUAGGGGAGCAAUGGUCUAUGUUUACAGAUUAUGAAUUUUUAUUGAGAAAAUGCUUAUGGAUUCUGUAAGAGCUCGGCUAGCCAAGUAACUCAAACUCUAUGUUUGACUUGUAAAUUAGGCGAUGUAAUUUCUCCCUGUUGCUCUCCUAAAGUAACAGGGUUGGUAAUUUAUUCAAGUGCUUCCAUUUUGUGCAGAAUGUGUGUCAAGUAUUGCUGACUAGCUUGUUGAAAGAUUCUGCAUUCUCAAGGCUCUAAGUUAAAGAAAUGUCAAGGAUGCGUAAAAUAAACAUUGAUCCAAAUAUCUAAUAUUUCUUAAUCUCUGUACAAGAACAACAAAUCCGCAUCAUGAGGAUUGACUUGGAAAAUUCAGAUGCAAGUUAGCACUGAGCAUAAAUGAGUUAGUAUUUGCCCGUGGAGGAUAAAAAGUUGUAUAUGCGAAGGACCAUCAAUAUUUACAGAUUCAUAUGAACAAUUCAUAUCAAAUAGAAGAUAUCGAGUUAGAUACAGAGCGGUCAUUCAAACCUUCACGAACAUCUCCUCGACAAAGUGGACAAACUCUGUAAGAGAAGAAGGCAGCAGGAUAAGAAACCAUGAGUAUUGACUUUCAGCAUGAAACAAGGGAAAACAAAGGAUAAUGAUGAAAAUAUAAUCAGGGGAUGGCAAUAAGCAUACCCAUGUAUCUCUUUGAGCCACUUAUCCACACAUGACAUGUGAUACUCAUGGUGGCAAGGCAGAACUCGAAUUUUGUCCCCUUCCUCAUACUCAGCGAGGCAGAUGUAGCACCUGUCAAUUAUUAACUCACCAUGAUCAAACACUGACAGAUGCAUUAUGCACACUUGACAAAUAAUAAGAAAAAAAAUCAAAUAAAUAAAACUUACUGUUCAACAUCAUCCCCAUGCUUCAAUUUGUCAAGCUUACUGUGACUCUUCAGAGGAAAUGAGUCAACAACAGAUGCUGGGGCAGGGACUGAGACCAUAGACAGUGAAAGUGACACGGGUUGGCGAUGAAUUUCAUCCAAAACCUGCAAAUUGGACCAAAAAUUGUUACAAAAUUAUGUGACGGAGCUCCAUUGAUAUUAUUCAUUUGUAUCUCCAAAGUGCAGACAGAUUAAAAAAUGUAACGUUUGAAAGGAUGUUAAACUAAAUUCUUCGAACCCGGAAGCAUAUUCGAAAGGAUUAGCAGUAUAUAGAGAUGCUCUAAGCUAAUACAAAGUACAUAACCAAAAAGUAGAAAAACACAUGGACGUGUUCCCACAGAACAGAAGCCAGACUGGAAAGCAAUGCGGUAUGAUGAGAUUGUGAAUAGCACUUCCCUAAGAAUAUAAAUUUAUCAACUUGUAAGUUUAAUUAGUGCCAUGAAUGAUGACAUCCAGAUAUAGGUACUCUAUCAAUUGACAAUAAGUGCAGUGACAACAACACAUACAUAAAUGGCUUCAACUUCCACAAUGCCUGCUCGAAACAUGUGUCAUUCAUUUAACUAGGCCAGAAAUUUACAUACUGAGGUUAAUACGCACCAGCUGAAAUAUAUACCGAGCCAUUCAACAUAAAUUGGUGAAACCGUGAAAGAGAAACAAUCUUUAUAAAUGUUUUUCACUCAUUAGUCACCAACAGUGGCACAAUCUACCUAACCAGAUGCAUGCGACCAUAGAAGACUUGGCCUUUUGAAAUGAAAGCAGACCCAAGACAAAAGUAUUUGAAGCUUCAUUGUUAUAGCCCAAAACAUGCAAGCAGCUUUUGAACUAAUAUGCAUUAUCUCAAUCUCGAGGAAUAGGAGAAACUGAAGCCUGAGGACAGAAAAUUACCUCGAAUAGAGCUUCAGCAAGCAUCACAAUUCUCGAUAUACUUGCCCGAGCACUAGACUCUUCCGUCAUCAAGAAUGAACCACAUGAGCACAUGCCUCUGGGGUGAAUCCCUGUAGGACAAGUAGUAUUGCGGUGACCAUUACCAUCAAGGCCACCACGAAGCCUUUCCCAGACCUGAAAAGAGUGUGGAACAAAAGCAUAAAUAUAAUUAUUAGGUGGGGAGCAUAAGAACAAGCUGUUAGUUACUAUAUAUAGGAUUUUCUGCCCUAUAACAAGUGUGUUUUUUUUUGGGUGACAACAUCUAUAUUUAACACGUUGUAAAGUUAUAUAGAAGUACUAUUAGUGCAUGAUUACAUAACACAAUAUAUCACUAUAAUGUUAUACAUGAACAGACACCUACAUAUCAUUCCAUAUAACACAAGGUCCCUCAAGUCAAUGGAACCAAAGUAUCAAUUUUCAGAUCCAAGUUAACUCAGAUGAUUGAAACAAUAUCACAAGAGCCUUUUAAAGUUUUAGAAGAUCACCUCAGAUCUAGAGUGUCGGCGCCGUUCACUCAAGUUAGGAGUUCUAUUCACCUGGUGACCAGAAUCAGCUCCACUCCGUUCAUCAAGAAAAUCACCACUCAAACCAAGUAGCCAUCUGUCAUGAAAUCCUAGAUCCUCAGUGUCAUCAGUAGAGAAAAGUAUGGUUGGCGAAUCGAUAAACCUUCUCGAACUGCGUCUUGAAAAUGCAUCCCAAAAAAGACGCCUACCAUUCCUUCUGGACUCACGGUUACUUGUGUCACCAUUACUCCUGGACAAAAAGUUCGAAGAAAUGCUCAUGACAUCAACAUGAACUACACUUCCAUCUUCCCGGCUUUGUUCCCUGUUGGACAUAAGGAAUCCUAAGCCAGAAGGUAUUGCCUCCCGAAGGGUAUCAUUUCCGCGUGAGGGAAAAGGUAACGGUAUAUCAGAAACAUGAACAGAAUCAGCAUCAGCAUUAGUAUUAUGGACAGCCAUUACUUCAGCCACAUGAUUCUCAACGGACAUGUUAUCAGAAUGGGAAUUCCCAAUCGUUUGUGGAGACGAACUAUUUGGACGCAUAACCACAGGACGAGCCUGAGAUGCACUCUUGUCUGCGGAGCCAGUGACUGUAUCCAUGUUAGCCGAACUAUUCACAGAGACUCGGUGGGAAGAUUGUUGUUCUUUAAACGAAGUACUAGCUGCAGUACUAUUAUCCCUACUAGAUUCAUCAUGAUUACAACCAGCACUUACCGGAUGAGAAAUGAGCUCCUUACUCCUGGACAAGCACUUCCCUUGGUUACUUGUGCCAAAACUUCUUAAACCUUCUUCAAAGUAAGUACCCUGACCUUCCGGAGCAACGCUUUGAGAUGAGGAUCCAAUUUCAGUAUUGGGGAAGGUAAACCCUGCCCCUGUACUGGAGAUCAACGAAGACACGUCUGUGGAGUUCUGAACUGGAUUAUUACCCCGAUCACAAUGCUCUACGUGUCUCACCAGGCACUCAGCUUGAUGAUCUUCCAUCUACAGGAAAGCCACCUAAGCAUAUCAGUACCCAUCAUAAUAUAUAAUACCAACUACUCAACCCAUGCAACAAAACAUUACAACACUAGCAACAUUCUAAUCUAACACUUCUCCAACCAAUUUCAGGGCCUUCCCUCAAAAUGAUCGGUAUAACAUUGUUUCUUCUUCAUUCAUGAUCAUUAAACAAUUCUAAAGACCAUAGAACACAUAAUUCGAACAAUACAUUAGAUGAUUGACCUGAUGAUCAACAAAUGGCCCUAAUUGAACUAUUUCUCAUCAGCCACAGAUAUACAAAUUAGAUAUACAAAUUCACAGAUACAUGAUAAACACAAACUCAAAUUGACCAAGCAACAACAAAACCACCAAUCACAAAGUCACCACCAGCUCAUCAAAUUCAAGAAACAAACCCCAAAUUCAUCAUUGGGUUUCUGUACCACACCAAAAAGCACCGAUCUUUACACCAAACGACCAAAACCCAAAUCAUAUAACCCAUCAAAACCCAAUAAAAAUCGAAUCUUUGAUCCAAAUUUACACAAACAAAACGAAACCCAACAAGGAAAAAGGGGGUACCUCGAGAGUGGCACGUGAGGAAGAGCCGCCGCAGACGAGAGAGGAGAGGAUGGAGCGAUUGGGUCGGGGCCGAGAUGGGCGCGAACCCAGUCGACUAGAGCUCGAACCCAUUUCAAGAAGAAGAGGGUUGAGAAAUGAAGGGGAUGAUAAUUGAAGCAGAAAGGCAAGUGAGAAAGGAAGGAAGGGUCAGAGAAAGAGAGGUGUUUGUUUAUUUCAAAUUCGAUGGUUUUGUGGACUCUACCGUAUGAUUGAGGUAAAGAAAUGCCUUUUAAUUUUUCGGUGCUUCUAAUAAACAGUUGAGAACGACUGAGACAUUUUUGUGUGUUUACUAUUAUCUAAAAUUUUGAGUGACAUUGUAAAUAAUUGGUUUAAAUAGGUAGGGGAACGAGAUUGAGAUGAAAAGGGAGAGAUAGAAUGGGAGGUUGAAACCUAAAUUCAUGCUUAAGGAUUGACUUACUAUUAUUAGAAAUAAAAUCAAUCACUAGUUAAUGAGUGAUCAAGAAUUUAGGGGAACGAUGAAAUAUAACUUGAUAUCUAAGAAAAAUUGUUAUCUUGGUGGAAAUGGUGGCAUUGGGAUCUUGUUUCAAUGCUUGAACUUUAAGUAUACAUUUUUUUUUUAUGAAGUUACAUCUCAAAUAAGAUAUGGUUUUCCAUUUUGCAUUUCUUUUUUAUGAUGAUCUCUAAAUUUGGAGCUAAAAGCUUGUGAAAACAGAAUAUAGAGGCGAGUGGACAUGAAUGUUCAAAACCAACCAGAAACAUAGAAGUGUAUGUGCAAAAACGGCAAAGUCCUUAAUGUAAAAUUUUGAAAAUACAAGACUAAGAAAAAUGUUUCGUAAUAAGUUGGAAUGGAUCAUUAAAAAUUUUAAUGUGGGCUUGGCAAUGGGGAAUGGCUAGAACUAGAACAACACCCAAGCCUAAAAUAGUGGAUCUCUAACCCAAGCUCAAUCUGGCCCAAACCUUUAUGUUUUGGUGUUACCCAGGAUGCUCUUCACAAAAUGAUAAACCUCUGCACUCGAUCGGCAAAUCUAUCACUAAUCACAUUAAGGAACAAAGAGACAAACACAUCACAAUUUGGACCGGGAUUCUUACUCAUUUGGAGUCAUAUAUAUGCCUAAAAUACGAGAUCUAUUCCACUCAACCAUAAUAUAAGCAUGCAUAAAAGCUGCAGAUAAUGUAAAAGGAACGUGUCUGGUAUAUAUUCAAGUAACACUAGACGCCAUGAAAGUAAACUUCAAAUCACCAAGGUAAAGGACAAUGGUGGCCUGAAUGCCUGAUAGUUAUUUUUCUGGCAUUAUUGCUACAGUUCUCUGUCGAUCGGAAAGGGGAGUCUGUGGUACGUACCAUUGCCAUUUCAAAAAGCUUUUGUCAUUUUACUUUUCAGUUACAUCAUACCAAAGAUUACUUACCUUUAGAAAAUGCCACUGGUGGUUACUGUGGUGGUUGUGGUUACUGUCACUGGUGUAACUGGUAGAAAAUGCCACCUAGCGUAGCUAAGAGAUCGUGUUUAGUGGAACGGGCCGGUGGAUCAGAUAUCUACAGCAUUUGAUAUCUAAUGUAUCAUCAUGAUGUGUAUAAGUACGUUUUAAGCAAGUUUAUGAUGUGUAAAGAUCAACAAUGUACUGCAGAUCGAUCUGCCGACCAGACUUUCUCUCAUUUGCUAGAGAGUUCUAAUGAUAAACCUAACACUUGUAGGUGUGGUAAGAAUAUCAGAUCACUAACUGAAAGCGCCAUAGAUAUGAAUUGUAGGUAAAACCUAACAAGAACGAACACUGAUAGAUAUGACUAGCAGUUCUAAUAUUUUCAAGAUGAGGAGGACAGGUUUCCCUCGGCCAUUGGUUGCCCGGAUAUAUCACCAUACCUAGCUUCCAUCUUUUUGCCACGUAUUGCCGGCCCCCAUACGUACUCAACCCUAUAAAUCAAACCCUUACAUUUCAGAGUUGAAUCGUUUAAGAAAAAAUGCCAGACCAUCCACCACCACCACACGGCGGCCACGGUCACGCACCACCCCCAGGUCCGGGACACCACGAGCCUCCUCCGCCCCAUGGCCAUGCUCCUCCUCCGGGGCCUCAUGCACCUCCUCCGGGACCCCAUGCACCUCCUCCGGGACCCCAUGCACCUCCUCCGGAACCCCAUGCACCUCCUCCGGGACCCCAUGCACCUCCUCAUGAUCCACACAAGCCACAUGACUGUCACCACGGUCACCACCACCCAUGAACCGAACUAGUCAUGAGGCCACGAUCGAGAAGCUAGUCUCAGCAAGUUGUUAUCUAUUUAUCUUUGUGCCUGUAAUGUGAUCUAGCUGCGGUUGUAGUUCUGAGUUGCUGGGUUUACUGGCUUUGCUCCAUUGAUCUCAUCGUUAUGUAAUGACUAAAAUAUGAGGACUAUGUAUGUAUCCAAAAGAAGGCUGAUCAUAUAUGUAUAAUAAGAAGAGUACUGGCUUUGUGGUUUAUGUAUAAUCCGCUUGUGUAAAACUUCUUCUUUUAUCCGUCUAAAUGUGAUGUAUAAUCAGAAAAUAUGGCCAGUUUGUCAUCUUGACCAACCUGAACUUACAAACUAAUUAAUUAAGUCAAUCUCCCCAAUUUCAUCAAUCUUCAUUAGGAUUUCAUCACUAGCUCAUUCCUUCACAGAUAAUUAACCAUUUGCUCGAUUGCUCUUAACAAACUGUAAUAGCCAAGAGGCAAACGCAUCCAUCUAAAUUCUAAAAAGUUAUUAACACAGGCUAGGGGUAAAUUAUCCUUUGUUCAGACCAAUCUCACAGUUGAAGCGAUGAAUUGGCUAAAACAAAAGCCUACGGGCAGAAAAACAAAGCAUCUCUAUUCGUACGGAAGAAUGACUUCCAUAUAUAGUAAGCCUUAUAGUUAUAACACCGUAAGUGUAUAAGAAUAGGAAUUCAUAAACGCAAUAAGAAGAAGACCGUGAAAGAGAUCGAAGAUUAAAGCAGGCCUUAAUGUCUUGUAUAUUCUGUACAAAAUUUCAACAGCCAGAUUUUCUCGAUGCAUUCGUCAGCUUCUGUUUGUAACCUUUCUUCUGUCAAAUCCUCCAUGGCUUUUCACGAGCAAUAAUUCUUGCAAGGUCCCAUUAACAAGCCUCACGUACGUUGUUCUUAUCUCCUUUUCCUUAGCUCACCAAGAAUUCAACUAUUACCAAGUGCAGCAACUAGUUUCUGUGAUCGAUCUACGGAAAGUUAAAGUUAUUGCUCAAAAGAGAAAGAGAAAACGGAAGUUAAAGUUCCAUGCUGCCCUAGUUCAAGUACGCACUCAGUUAUGAUCUUGUGGUUCUUACAAUGGAUGAAUGGAUGAAGCAUUACCACACAAAUACUCAGAAGAGAAAAACAAAACAACCACAGUGCACGAUUAACAUGCUAGCUAGCUUUCAUUGUGUGCAAAUAUCCUGAGCUACCAUUCCACCAAAACAAGCUAAAUAAGUUUAUCCUUGUAUGGAUAUUAUGUGAAUCGAAAUAAUUGUAUAUUUGAUUCUUAGAUAUUAUGUGGCACCUAUUACAACGAAGCAUGUGCCAUAUUCUGAAGAUAAUGUCGACACAUCUGAAUCAUCUAGAGCCCGUACCGACACCUUUCUCCUAUAAAAUCAACUCCUACUAGCUUAAACUCUUCAACAGUUCGCCACAUCAAGAACAACUUUCUUUUUGUUUAUACAAGCUAGUAGUCUCACCAAGAAUUCGAAGAUGCAUCACGGUGAUCAUCACGGCGGACCACCACACCACGGAGGAGGUCCGGGAGGAGGUCCGGGAGGUCCAGGAGGCGGCCCUCAACAUGGUCAUGGUCAUCAAGGAGCUCCGGGAGGAGGGCAUGGAGGACCAGGAGGAGGAGGGCAUGGAGGGCAAGGAGGAGGAGGACACGGAGGACCAGGAGGAGGAGGACAUGGAGGAGGAGGAGGAGGAGGACGAGGGGGGAGGAGGAGGACAUGGAGGAGGAGGAGGAGGAGGACGAGGGAGGAGGAGGAGGAGGACAUGGAGGAGGAGGAGGACGACGGAGGGCAUGGUGGUCACUGAUCAUGGCGCUAGACUACGUAUACUACUUGUGGUGUACUAGCUGGCUGAAUAAGUCUCUCUAUGUGACUUCUGUAGUAUUGUUUGUGUGUUAUCAUUUCCUAGUUGGGUCGAUCAGAUCCUAGAUAGUGAAGCUAGCUAGGGGAGUCGAUCUUGUGUUUGGAGUCUGUUAAUUAAUGUAUGUGUAUGGAUGUGUAAUAAAACCAUACUAGCUAUGUAUUUGAUUCGAGGCUUAACAUAUAUUGCAUGCAGCUAUAUAUAUAUAUAUAUAUAUAAUAUCCUUAGAUGACUAAGAACAUAAGAAACAGAGCAGUACUAUUGAUGAUUUACAAGAUUCAAUUUGUAUAAGUGAUCUUUGGCUUGUCCUAAUUAACCAUCAAGCAAAGCGCUAAGAACGAACAUAUUAUAUAUACUGCCAGAUGAUCAAGCAACUUUGCAGAGGGAUCAUGACGAAAUGUCCAUCUAGCAGCUUAAAUGCUUAAUUAGAACAAUUUUGCAAAACAAACACAAACUUGUAUAAUACGGUACCGAAAAUAUAAGUAUAACCGUUUGAAAUGUCAAGUUUAUCAAUCUUAUGAAAUCGAAGUAUCGUAAAUCGAUAAUGAUCUUCUUCAAAACUAGAACGAGAAUGUAACGUGUCUAUAUGACACUAUAAAUGUCUACGAAAUCAUGCGUUAAGAACAUAAUAUUAUAUUCCUUCGUUUUUUACUAAAGAAUAUCAUUACCGUUAAGCUUUAAUUGACAUACGUACGAUUGUACUUUGUAGUGAUACAUCUAAUUAUAUUGGUCGUGUGGUGCCCUUAGUAUAUUAAAAGGAAAAAACUAAAGAGACCAAAAGGCCCAAAGGAAACCACAGAAAUUGUCAUAAAGGUACAAGUGCAGCCCAACUUUCNNNNNNNNNNNNNNNNNNNNNNNNNNNNNNNNNNNNNNNNNNNNNNNNNNNNNNNNNNNNNNNNNNNNNNNNNNNNNNNNNNNNNNNNNNNNNNNNNNNNNNNNNNNNNNNNNNNNNNNNNNNNNNNNNNNNNNNNNNNNNNNNNNNNNNNNNNNNNNNNNNNNNGUCCUGAUCAUCACCUUCCUUGCCUAUGCUUCCUUCCACGCCUCCAGGAAGCCCCCCAGCAUCGUCAAGAGUGUUCUUGGCCCCAAACUCCUGUCCAAUUCGAGCUCUUUCGACACCGGUUGGGCUCCCUUUAAUGGCCCUGAUGGCACUCACAGGCUUGGAGAACUUGAUCUUGCAUUUCUAUCUGCAUAUUCUAUUGGAAUGUAUUUUGCAGGGCAUGUUGGUGAUAGGAUUGAUUUGAGGUUGUUUCUUGCUUAUGGGAUGUUAGGGAGUGGAGUUUUGACUUGUCUUUUCGGGUUAGGUUAUUGGUGCAAUGUGCAUAUGUUGUGGUACUUUGUGGGUGUGCAAGUUGUGUGUGGGUUGUUUCAGUCAAUAGGGUGGCCUUCUGUUGUGGCAGUUGUGGGGAAUUGGUUUAGGGUUUAGACAGCGGCCAUCACACGCCGGCCACGGUCACGCACCACCCCCAGGUCCGGGACACCACGAGCCUCCUCCGCCCCAUGGCCAUGCUCCUCCUCCGGGGCCUCAUGCACCUCCUUCGGGACCCCAUACACCUCCUCCGGAACCCCAUGCACCUCCUCCGGGACCCCAUGCACCUCCUCAUGAUCCACACAAGCCACAUGACCCGCACCACGGUCACCACCACCCAUGAACCGAACUAGUCAUGAGGGAUCACGAAGCUAGCUAGUCUCAGCAAGUUGUUAUCUAUUUCUGCCUGUAAUGUGAUCUAGCUGCGCUUGUAGUUCUGAGUUGCUGGGUUUACUGGCUUUGCUCCAUUGAUCUCAUCGUUAUGUAAUGACUAAAAUAUGAUGACUAUGUAUGUAUCCAAAAGAAGGCUGAUCAUAUAUGUAUAAUAAGAAGAGUACUGGCUUUCUGGUUUAUGUAUAAUCCGCUUGUGUAAAACUUCUUCUCUGUUAUCGGUCUAAAUGUGAUGUAUGAUCAGAAAAUAUGGUCAGUUUGUCCUCUUGACCAACCUUAACUUACAAACUAAUUAAGUCAAUCUCCCCAAUUUCAUCAAUCUUUAUUAGGAUUUCAUCACUCAUUCCUUCACAGAUAAUUAACCACACAUCCAAGCUGCAUUUGCUCGAUUGCUCUUAACAAACUGUAAUAAUUAACCAAGAGGCAAACGCAUCCAUCUAAAGUCUAAAAAUUAAGUUAUUAACACAAGGUUAAAUUAUCCAUUGUUCAGACCAAUCUCACAGUUAGAGCGAUGAAUUGGCUAAAACAAAAACCUACGGGAGAAAAAGAAAGCAUGUCUAUUCAUACGGAUGAAUGACUUCCAUAUAUAGUAAGCCUUAUAGUUAUAACACCGUAAGUGUAUAAGAAUAGGAAUUCAUAAACACAAUAAGAAGAAGAUCGUGAAAGAGAUCGAAGAUUAAAGCAGGCCUUACUGUCUUACAUAUUCUGUACAACAUUUCAACUGCUAGAUUUUCUCGAUGCAUUCGUUAGCUUCUGUUUGUAACCUUUCUUCUGUCAAAUCCUCCAUAUACGAACUCAUGGCUUUUCACGAGCAAUAAUUCUUAAAAGGUCCCAUUAACAAGCCUCAAGUACGUUGUUCUUAUCUCCUUUUCCUUAGCUCACCAAGAAUUCAACUAUUCCCAAGUGCAGCAACUAGUUUCUGUGAUCGAUCUACGCAAAGUUAAAGUUAUUGCUCAAAAGAGAAAGAGAAAACGGAAGUUAAAGUUCCAUGCUGCCCUAGUUCAAGUACGCACUCAGUUAUGACCUUGUGGUUCUUACAAUGGAUGAAGCAUUACCAAACAAAUACUCAGAAGAGAAAAACAAAACAACCACAGUGCACGAUUAACAUGCUAGCUAGCUUUCAUUGUGUGCAAAUAUCCUGAGCUACCAUUCCACCAAAACAAGCUAAAUAAGUUUAUCCUUGUAUGGAUAUUAUGUGAAUCGAAAUAAUUGUAUAUUUGAUUCUUAGAUAUUAAGUGGCACCUAUUACAACGAAGCAUGUGCCAUGCAUUCUGAAGAUCAUGUCGACACAUCUUAAUAAUCUGGAGCCCGUACCGACACCUUUCUCCUAUAAAAUCAACUCCUACUAGCUUAAACUCUUCAACAGCUCGCCACAUCAAGAACAACUUUCUUUUUGUUUAUACAAGCUAGUAGUCUCACCAAGAAUUCGAAGAUGCAGCACGGUGAUCACCAAGGAGGAGGUCCGGGAGGUCCGGGAGGUCCAGGAGGAGGUCCGGGAGGUCCAGGAGGCGGCCCUCAACAUGGUCAAGGUCAUCAAGGGGGUCCGGGAGGAGGGCAUGGAGGACCAGGAGGAGGAGGACAAGGGGACCAGGAGGAGGAGGACAAGGAGGACCAGGAGGUGGAGGACAAGGAGGACCAGGAGGAGGAGGACAAGGAGGACCAGGAGGAGGAGGAGGAGGAGGAGGAGGACAUGGUGGUCACUGAUCAUGGCUCUAGACUACGUAUACUACUUGUGGUGUACUAGCUAGCUGAAUAAAAGUCUCUAUGUGACUUCUGUGUUAUCGUUUAUGUGUUAUCAUUUCCUAGUUGGGUCGAUGAGAUCCUAGAUAGUGAAGCUAGCUAGGGGAGUCGAUCUUGUGUUUGGAGUCUGUUAAUGUAUGUGUAAUAAAACCAUACUAGUUAUGUAUUUGAUUC
rnacentral:lncRNA from 1 species